CUGACGUGCGGCGAGGAAAAAGGGGGCGGUGACCUGGAAGCCAAUGAGCACGCUCGGGCAGGCGGCCCGUCGCCACUGGAGGAAGUACCAGUCCUGAAAUGAAGGGCUUCCGGAAGUUGGUUUAGCCUAACGUAGAAAAGUUUGAGACGGAACUGAAGAGAUGCAAGCCGGGAGUUGUAGUCCCAACCCUUCGCUGUACACUGUUCCACAAGCAACAACUGUUGAUCGAUGACAGCUCUCUCUUCUUUCAAGCCUACUGGUGAUAACUCUUCCAGCUGUUGAAGUCCCUGUGUGCUUUACAAUCCUUUGUUCCCUUAAACCUGACCACACCCUGAAGCAGAUGCCUGGUGCUCCCUCAGCUUAAAGUGGCAGAGACCAGAAUGGAAUCCAGGUCUUCCUCAGCUGCCUCCAGUGUUUUCAGACAUUUCCUAGAAUCUGUCAGAAACCACAGCCUUGUGGUGGAAGUGAAGGAACUGACCUUUGCUACACCAGAACCAACCAGAGCAGCUCAGCUUUUAUCUGCUUCCUUUAUUGGGGUUUGUUGGAAAAGCAGAGCUUUUUGCUUUAUAACUUUGGGUGAAACGCAUUGAUUCUAAGAAAAAAUCUCUCUUUUUAGAAAUCAACUUAGUGGGUCACAUGGACCCCAACACUGUAAUUAAAUUUCUUCCAUCCCGCCUCUGCUUCUCAUUUUCAUUAAAUACACAUUUCUCUCUCUUAGACGAAUAAACAAGAUGUGCUGAAAUCUAUAGAUUGCUAUAAAGCCAACUAAUUAAAAGCACAGUUAAGUCAA